CAUCACUCUCGGGCUGGGAUGGACGCGGGGCGGGCGGGCUCUGGCGCGCGGAGCCAGGAGUCCGGGCCUCCCGGCUGCUGAGCGUCCCCCGAAGACUACUCCCACCCCCGCCUUCCCUCUUAGGAGCCGCGUCGACCUCUGCCUCGAGGCUCCGGACUCGGCUCCCGCCCUCCUCAGACUCCCCGGACCUCCCCCUCCCGCCCGCCCUCGGGAUCGACUAGAUCCCUCCCCCUCCCCGAGGAUUCCGGCUGGAUCCCUGCCCCUGCACCGCGGAUCCUGCGCUCUGGGGCCCCGGGCCCCUGGGGAUUGCCGUGGACUCCUCCUCCAGCAUCCGAUCCCUUAGGAUCCUCCGCCUGGACCGCCUUCUGGUCCCUCGAAGCGGGCCCACGGAGCCAGUGGAUCUCCAAUCCAGUCCUGUCCCGUUGCUCCCUCCUUGCUCUUCCGUGCCCACUGCGGGGUUCCCUGUUCUCGGGCUCCCCCUGAUCCCAUCCCCUAGCUCUCCUUUUCCCGGGGAUCGACUGGAUCCCGGCCCCGCCCCCCGGGGCUGGGGCGAUCCCCCUCCCCCGCCGGGUGAGGCGCUGCGGGCGGGGGCUGGGCCUGCGGGGCCGCGGGGGCUCAGAGGCCGCCGCCCCCCUCUCGAAGCCCGUCCGCCCCCCACUCGGAGCCCUGGAUGGAGGCACCACGGCCCCAGGGCUGAGCCAGGUAGGAGCUAAGCCAGGCUGGGUGGAGGGGUCUGCGUGGUGGUCUGCUGGGGUCUCCUCUCCCCAUCUCCCUCCCUGAGCCUGGUUUCCCACAGCCUGCUCUGUCUGCGUGUCUCCGCCUAGGGAUGCUCUCGCCGUGUCUCUGCGUCUUGGUCUCUUUGUCUCUGCCUCUCUCCAGUCUAUGAAUGAUCCUUUGAAUGGGCCCACAGACCCCGUGUGUUCCCAUCUCCCCCUCCCCCUCCUUCUCCCCUUCCCGGCCAAGCCAUUUUCCCCACUGCGGGAAGGGGGGGGCUGCGGCCUGAGCCCCCGUCCCUCAACUCUACCCUGUUGGGGGAGUCAGGCCUGGGCUGGAAUGGAGAGAGCAAGGCAGAGGGAUGGGAAGAAGGAGGGGGAGCAAGAUGUGAUAGACAGAGAUGGGGAGAGAAAAUGGGGGAGACUGAGAUAGGGGAAGACAGGAAAGAAAGAGGGAGCUUGAGAGAGAAAAUUGAGGAAGAAAUUUGGAGGAGAGAGAAAGAGAAAUACCAAGGAGAGAUGUAGAAGAGAAAAAUGGGAAGAAAAAAAAAAAAAAAGACCGCGGGGUGAGAGACUGAAGGCAAGAGCUGGAGCAAGCUGGAAGAGGCCAAGGAAAGAUGCUCUGAGGGAGCGCUAUGGAGAGGAGAGAGAUGUUGGGGGAGGGCUCCAGUGGGAGGGAAGUAGGGAGAGAAGCUGGUUGAAGGGGAGGAGGCCAGGGUCCAAAGUACCCUGAGGGAGAAGGGGUGACAGAGGCAGACUAUCUCAUGGGGGGAGAAAGAGGGGACAGCAAGGCCACAGUGUCUGAGCCUAGCCUGGCAUAGGAAAAAGAUCCUGGAGAAGCCAACCCCAAGUCCCUUCCAGGGGAUGGGGGAACAGAGCUUAAGAGGAUCUGAAGAGGGGGAGGGCAUAGCUGGGUGUGAGUGGUAAGGAUUCCUGUGUCCUCAUCUCUGGAAUAAAUUGACACCUGCAGAGAGCCACCCGCGAGCUGGCGCCUGGCUCUGAAAACCCCGCGUCAGCAAACAGCUCAGGCGGCUGGUGGGGGGCAGGGGGGCUUGCUGAAAUGACCUGGGUAUCUGCCCCUUGGGUCUGAUCUCUUCCCUUGUCCUGUCCCUGGUGCCCUGAGUACACAGGCCUCAGAGCAGCAAUGGUGGGGACGCUGGCAAGGGGAAGGAAAGGGGAAUGGAUGGGAUGGGAAGAGAGGAGAAUAAAGCUAAGGUUUGCCCCCAGGACAUAGGUCAAAAUGCAGUGAAAGAGGAGGUGUCUGGGGUCCAGAGCUGUUCAAGAUUGUGGGAGGGGGCAGUCAGUAGGCUCAUUUGAUGCCUUCAAACCACUUCAGUGCCCCUUCUCUCCAGUCAGAGGCCUGGUCACUAGGACUAAACUCUGAUUGGCUCGCAAGGGGGGCAAGAGGCGGAUCUUUAGGGUUCUCCAUGCCCCCAGAUUCCCCUUCCCCUCAACAUAUAUACUUCAUCUAUGCUACUAUUGGGGAAAACUAGUAUUCAGACUCACGCCUCUGCCCUCCCCAUCAUGCCCUGAAUGGACCCCACAACUAAGCCAGCCCCUUCCCCUCUUCCUCCAGACACCCCCUCCAGGAUUAAAGCUGCAGCCCCGUUGCCGAGGUAACAUUGCGGGGCAGCAUCCCGUCGCCCGGCAACCGGCUGCAGGAUCACGCAUCUGUCCCUGGAUUUGCCCCUCCAGUAUCGCCUCUCUUUUCUAACCCCUGCCUUGAGGUACCCCAACUUAUGAAGAAGGAAAGGAAGCUGGGGAGAUAGGAGUCUCAGGGUUGCAAAAUCCUUAGAGAAUGACAUGAAGGGGAAAGAAGGAGCUUGGGUCUGUUCGGUCCCAAGAAAGACCCAAGUCUGGCCCAGGGUGGGGGUUCAGUGCCAUGAAAUUAUAGCUCAGGAGUAAUUACACGUAUAAACAAACCCGCCACUUCCUGCUAAUUAAUGACUUGGUAUUUUUAUUUUCUCUUCCUUGUCUGUCUCAUUCCCUCCCAGGGAGGUGGGGACUGGGACUCCUGAGUCCCUGGGGAGAGCCUGCCUGGGAGGGAUAAAGAAGCUGGGAAGGGACUGCUGGGUCUGGGGAACUGGCCCCUGGGUCUCCACCGACUUUGUACAGGACCUUUACCACAUCUGACCCCACCUCUAGCUUGGGACCCUGCUGAAGAGAGAAGGGCUGCUGGGGGGAGGGAGGAGGGGCCAGGGGCCUGUGGGUGGAAGAAGGGUGGCAACUUGGUCUGAAAUCCAAGUCACUAACCACUUGUCUCUUCUGUUUCCCCAUUCCUUUCUGUCCUCCCCAUCCAAUUUCCUUUCCCUUCUUCCACCUCUCCUCCGUAUUUUUCUGUCUGUCCGUCUGUCUGUAUCUUGCACACCCUGUCCCUCCUGUUCUGCCUCCCGCAGGUCGGGCCUGCCUUCACCUUCUUCCACCUCGUUUCCCUUCCCCACCCCUUGCCCCCUCAAUGGAGAGGAACAGACCCCUUCUCUGUCCCGUCUAACCCAGGUCCCUCCCCGCCCCCUUCCUCCCUCCUGUCCCCCGC
rnacentral:lncRNA from 1 species